rnacentral:rRNA from 1 species
UUAAAAAGCUCGUAGUUGAAUUUCGGAGUUUGUCGGUUGGUCGGGCUUCAUUGUCCGCACUGACCUGAUGGAUUCCUACCUUCUGAAUAACCAGCAUGCUAUUAAGUUAGUGCGUUGGGGAAGCAGAGCUAUUACCUUGAAAAAAUUAGAGUGCUUAAAGUAGGCUUAUGCUUGAAUAGAUUAGCAUGGAAUAAUAAAAUAGGACGGCAUGGUUCUAUUUUGUUGGUUUCUAGGAUCACCGUAAUGAUUAAUAGGGAUAGUUGGGGG